AAUGAACGUUAGCGGCGCGCCUGAUGCAUGCAAGUCGAACGCCCGCGUUAUCCGCAAGGAUGACAAGGGAGUGGCAAACGGCUGAGUAACGCGUAAGUAACCUACCUCUAAGUGGGGAAUAACUUGCCGAAAGGCAGGCUAAUUCCGCAUGUGCUGAUGAGCGAAUGUUUUUCAGUAAAGCUUUCGGGUGCUUGGAGAGGGGCUUGCGUCUGAUUAGCUAGUUGGUGGGGUAAUGGCCUACCAAGGCGAUGAUCAGUAGCUGGUCUGAGAGGACGACCAGCCAGACAGGGACUGAGACACGGCCCUGACUCCUACGGGAGGCUG
rnacentral:rRNA from 1 species